rnacentral:rRNA from 1 species
CCCUUAGAUGUUCUGGGCUGCACGCGUGCUACACUGAUUAUUUCAACAAGUGUUUUAACUGGAGAGUUCGCGUAAUCCUGAAAUGUUAUCGUGAUGGGAGUAGAGUAUUGUAUUUGUUAAUCUUUAAUGAGGAAUUCCUAGUAAGUGUAGGUUUAUAAGUUGUUCUGAUUACGUCCCUGCCCUUUGUACACACCGCCCGUCGCUCCUACCGAUUGAUUGAUCCGGUGAAUUACAUAGAAUUUUGCGUUUUACAUGACGGAAGACGAAGUGUUUUAAACCUUAUCAUUUAGAGGAAGGAGAAGUCGUAACA